UUAGAAUAUACUCCUUCCAUAUCCAUCUGUAUCACUUGGAAGAUUAAUACAGAGCUUUUCACAGCCUACACUGAACUGUUGGAAAUCACCCUUUACAGUAUCUAAGGGAAAAAGGACAUCGAGGUUUUGGAUCAUCUGACUUGAUCCUGGAGGCUGUAACAAGGAUACUUGAGAAACUAAGCCCGAGAAUAAGAUCCUACUCUGGGUUAAUCCUCACAACAACCUUAAGAGCAGACUAUCCCCUUUGCCAUCUACCUGCAAAAUCCAACUGUCUGAACAUACCUCCAUGUGGACAAAAAAGAAGACAGCAGGAUACUGUUAAGUAUUAGCUCCAGAAAUAUAUACACUUGAUCUGCGUUUCACAACUGUAUCUUUAUGAGCUAAGUAAACCUCAUU